GAGAAGCUGCUGCUGCUGGUGCUGCUGGUGCUGCUGACACUGUUGUGAACCUCAAAGUGCAAUGUGAUUCUACCACCCACUUACCUACUGGAAGAAGCAAUGGAAUGGAGCUCACUGGGAGGGAAUAUUGGCAGUAUAUAAACUCCCUAAAUGGACUUCAGAGAGAAAAUGAUCUUCAGCUAAGAGACCAUUUGACAGAAUACAAGAUGCUGUCUUCUCUGGUGCCUCUGGUCCAAUCUGGUUCCUUGGAAUCCAAAGAAAACUCAACAUUCCUGUAGUGUCUGCAGGAGGCUUAAGGAGCUCUCUCCCCUGAAACACCGGAUUUCAAGGAAGGACUGGGGGAGUUGUGUGAGAUGCGGCUACACAUGAUCUUUGCAGUAAGUGGGGGAGGAGAGUAUAUUGGAGAAAGGAAAAAAAGAGAUGAAUAUCUGUAAAUUUGGCGAAGAUAGUCCUGUGAAAUAAAACCAUCUGUAUGGAGAGUUAGACUGG